rnacentral:lncRNA from 1 species
AAUUACACACUACCUAAGGUCGAGAGAGUGAAAAAGCUACAAUAAUUGCAUGAAAUGCAAGAAAUAAAAUGAAUUAAGGAAUAGAAAGGAAAUACCAUCCAAGUCAUAUGGGGUUGGAAAGAAUUGCAAGUAACAAAACAAAGCAACAGUCAAACCUGCCAAAUGAAAAGAAAAAGAUUCCUAUAUCAAUACACAACCAAUGUAAACAGGAGGACAAUAGAAAAAUCAGAAUUUUUGGGCAAUGGUAAACUAUCCUGUGGCGGAGAAAACAGAGUAAAAAUAGGAUUAGAAAAAUCUAAAUUUUCUUCAAUAGAAGUUAUACAUACAAAUUGAUCGAUCGUGGACCAUAACUAAGGAGCUAACCACUAAACUAUCAGAAGUUCAAGAGCAAAAACUUGGAUGAUGCUGUUAUCUUUUAUGUCGGUACUCCUUCCUCCCCUCCCCUCCCCCCUCCUCCAUGUACGCAAUAAGUCCUAUAUUCAAGGAUAUUCACCCUGAAAAAGAGAUCUUCAAUAUGUGAUUUCACCAAUUAAGGAGUAAGAAGCAAGAGCUUUCUAGUUUUCCAAAUAUCAGCAAUCGCUUAGUUCGAAACCACAAAAACAAUAGAGAUCAGCAGUUAAACGUAUUCACAUCAAAUUUAGUACAAAAACUAACAAGUGAUGAGCACAACCUGUGAAAAUACUACUCACUGGUGUUGAGGGCGUGAAGAUACAGAAGUUUUCUUCCCACAUCUCAAGCCACUCACUGAACCAUUGUGUUUCCGCUGUGGCUGCUUCGCCAAGUGUCCAUCUUUUAUCUGCGCAUCCUGAGUUAAGAGCAGGGUACCCACGGCAACAUUGCCGGGAGAACCUAUAAGCCAGUAGUACCAAUUAUACAACCUACAAUUUUAUCAUGUUCCUCCACAGAAAAACGUCUAUCAAAAAAUGGCCAGGCUCAGUUCUUCACGGCAAACAUGUGAUCCAGAAAAGGAAAAUAGAGAAAAGGAGACGAACAAUAGGCAAACAGGACAUAAUAUAAUCUGACCAUCAAAAAACAGUCCCAUCAGUUACUCUCUCUCAAUGAAAUCAAACACGAAAUCUAGUAAGGAAAUACAAAUGAUUUGAAUCUGUAUAACCUACUCGCUUGCAACAUUCAGAGGAUUAUCUUCAUCAAAAGUACAGAGAAAAGUACUGAUGCCAGGUAUGCCUAAGCAUGAUUUCUGACUAAAUCUCUUAUUGUCAAGACCAUAUCAAGAGAGAGAAAAAGGGAGAGACGAGUAAAGGAACUGGAAUUUGACAAGUUUCAAUCAAAUACAUCAACUAUUAACUACAUAAGGAUAUAGGGGUAGGUAAUUUAGUAUGCCUUCAUCAAAUGAGACAUAAUGAUCAAAAAACUUAUUUUACUCCAUCUCCGAUCAAAAAAAAUAAAAUACCAUGAAAACCAAAAGUUAACUCACAGGAACAGCCCCAAACAGGACAGUAUUGUCCUUCAAUAGAUCUUUAAGAUCUGUAUCAUAUGCUCCCCUGCAUAGCAGUAAAUGGAUGUAUAAUGAAUUAUAGUAUGAUCUCUUAUGACCCCAAGAAGAAGCAGUAAGUAUAAGCAGUCAUGCAUGUGAUUUCCUUGCAAACGUGAGUUCCAUGAGACUAACAGUGCUGUGCACCAAGCUCACCCGCUUACUCUCCCCUGUUAGCGCAAAACAAGCAGCUCCAUCAUAUUGGUACAAAAGUCCCAAUUAAAAUGUAGCGCUUCUCUCUCCUGAAGGACCCACAAGCUUCAACCAACACCCUAUCCCCUCUCAACCACCAAUCCCUUACCUAAGAAUAGGAACAAAACAAUAUCAAUCAUAUUAGGUUAAUUAAAAUGGACCAUUAAAAAACUUAAAACAAUCACACCAAUAUGCGAGAACUGUUCAAUACAUCACUUAACUAUAACCAUGCAUGCCUGUGCAUGCAAAAUGCAGUGACGCACUAAAUACUCCAAACUACACAUUCACAAAAGCCUAAUCUGCAAGAACAAACGUUAGACACAAUACAGUUAAUGAAUUAAAAAGGUUACCUUCUCCCGACUCUAAAUCAGCCAUGAGCUGAAUUGGCAGCCUGCCACCCGAGAUGAGCUCGUGGUUGUCUCGGUCAGUUUGGUUGAUUCACAAAACUGAGCCUUGGUUGGAUGGGCAUUGGAUUUCACCCACGGAAUGUCCCAGAUGUGAAUUUGCGUGACUUCUAGUGCUCACAAAAAUAUGCAUAAGGACCCAUCUGAACAAACAAACAGUAUAAGAGGUAACUGCUAUAUCAAACCGUCCUGAUAAUCGAGGGGGAAGGAAAGAACAAACACCACAUAAUAGAAGCGGAGGGGAAGAUUAAUUUUAAGAACCAAAAUGAUAGAAAAUUAGUUUCAAAACACAUUUUUAUAAUGCAUCCGUGCACAAUUAUUAUGAGUUAGUGAAAAAAGAAAACUUUGUCAGCAAUUUAAUUUAAGUUUAGUGAAAAGGAAAACAAAGAUAGUUACCAUCAUUUGAAAAUGGAGUGGAAAAACUGCAGAUACAAAAUGUUGUGAAACAACCAGAACUACAAUCAGAAAUACAAAUUAUUAUAGAAACAAGGCAAACCUAGGAGACCCUCCACCAAAAACAUUCCUGACCAAUGGUGCCAAUAGUCAUCCACCCGAUAAAUGGCAACGAGGAUGCACAAGGAAGAGGAAAAGAAGACCGAUGCAUAGUUUUGCCACGUCUUUAGAUCAAAUGAUUUAAUGUUCUCCGCUAAAGUACACUGAUAAAAAUCCCAGAUCUGCAAAGAACCUUGCCACAUCGUAGUGAAUUUUGUGAGACAAGUAGGACUUUGUGUCAUGAAUUUACAAAUAAAAAAUUGCAAAUACAUUGGAAUAUGUAUGUCAUAACAACAAAAGUAUCUCUACAAACUAAAACUUCUUUUGAAGAGGAAGUUGAAAUGAAGGCUAAAACAUUGAUAGCCGUUCAAAACAAUAUGCGAAGAUUGGUGAACGUAAGAAUAAGUGUACUUUAGCACUUAGGUUGAAAAACUACAACUGUAACCAAAUCAGGUUCCAUGGAAGUAUCACAGAGAAUACAAAAAAUUUACAGCUAGAAAGUUGCAGUUACCUUGUUCUAGGUCCAUUAUUACAUCUCCAACAGUGUUUGGUUUGGCAAUUAUGUAUGAAUUUUUACCUGAAAUAGUUUUAAAAAUAUAUUAGAAUGAGAGUCAAAUUCUAAAACACGACAAAGAAUAAUUUUAAAAUAUUAUAGAAUGAGAGACAUUCUAAAACAAAAAAGAAAUGACUGGUAUAGUUUGACACGCACUUAAUCCUUGGUUUAGCAUGAUGGAAAGCAAACUUUUAGAGUUUGCAGGACUUGCAGUUCUGGAAAAGAGCGGAUAUCCAAUACCUCAUAGUAGAGAAUAUCCGAAGUCAUGCACAGAAGGGGAGAAAAUCAGCCAGCAAAACGUAAUGGUAUUCCAAAGUGUUUGUAAUAAGUACAAUACAAAAAGUUGUAGGUGCUAUAAUAGAGGAAGAAGAACCUGAUUAUCGUGCACUAGCAUGUCUGAUUAGAAGUUCACUUCUCGAUACUUGAUUGGAUGGGCUUAGGUUGCUGGGAGAGUAGUAAAGUUAUGAGUACAAGUUCUUAUGAAGAUGAUCAUCCAAGCCAAGGAUGGGAAGGCUACUCUUUCGACAACAUCAUCGAUAAGUAUGAGCUUUGAACCUGGAAUUCAUAACUCAUAAGGGUAAAAAUAUUCAUUUUCUGAUACUUCACCUAAAUUAAUUAUUGAAGGAUAAACGUGUGAGCUAGCAUAAUAGUAGGAAUUAGAAAAGUAACAAAUCGAGACCAGAACCAUCCUACUUAGAGGUUUCCUCCAAAGAAGGAACGUGAACACCUACAAAUUGUCAGGUCAUGUGAAAAAACCAAAAUGAGGAAGCUGCAUAAUCAGAGUUAGCAGUCAAGAAGAAGACUUUUGGAUCGACGUUUUAAACACCCAUUGAAUGGCUUGUCCACCAUUAGCUAGUCUUUGGUCGCGGCAGCGGAAGAACAGAGGAGAAAUAAGAUCACAAAUAAAAAAAAUUACUCCUCCCUUUCAAGCUAUGCCGUACCGAAUUAUUCGAUCCGCUUCUUCGUCUGGUGAGUAAAAGAUGCGGAGGGAAUUGAACAGUCAUCUGACAAUUCAAAAACAGAUUUACACAUCCAUUGCAUACACACACACACAUAUCACCUGUAGAGAGAGAAAGAAAGGGAGAGAGAAGAGGACCGUCGAGGCAGGCAGCAACGUCGCAAGGCUGAAACGCGGCUGUAAUCGAAGACCGGUUCGAGUCGUCCGUUGGAUCGGAACUGUGCAACAUAAACAGAAAUCGAAAAACAAAAUCAGAAACCUAGAAAAAAGUUACAGUUGGAAGAUUAGGGCUUAAAUUUGAAUUCUUCAAUUCACAAAAAACAUAUCGAACUAUGCCCUUUCUCGUGGAACUCUCACUCUCUCUCUCCCCUCCCGAUUUAGCGUCGAUUGUUGAGAUUGCUGAGGGUGUUACAGUUAGGGAUGGAAGGCUUGAGGAGGAGAGCAGAAGGUUAUUUAACAAAUGAGCGGAGAUGCGGAUUGGCUGCCAAGAAUAUAUAGAAAGCAAGUUGCUAUUGCCAGAACAGUAUUACAAUGUUAUUGGUUGGAAAAUAGUUGCCAAACCUGGCAAUACUAAAUAAAACGUCUUAUUCUAAAAAAAAAUCUUGGUGUUUAAGAAAUGGUUAUUACAAGAUUGGCAAAUAGCUGUCAAUUAAUAAAGAAAUGAUCUUUUUUCAAAAAAAAAACUGGUGGUCAAGAAAGAAAUCUUUGUAUUUUUUAAUAAAGAAUCCUCGAUUGUAAACAAAAAAUAGAGAACUAGUGUGUAACUCAUUGAUGGGACAUUGGACCUACUUUGGUUAAAUAUUUUUAAUGCUUUUUUUUAGUUUUUCUAUUUUUAGUGAUUUUUUAAUUUUUUAAUUUUUUUGAUGAGAGAAAUUAAAAAAUAUAGUAUUUUUUAAAAAAUAUUGUGUU